CCUACGGGUGGCAGCAGUGAGGAAUAUUGGUCAAUGGGCGUGAGCCUGAACCAGCCAAGUAGCGUGAAGGAUGAAUGCCCUAUGGGUCGUAAACCUCUUUUAUAAAGGAAUAAAGUGUGGCACGUGUCCUCUUUUGUAUGUACCUUAUGAAUAAGGAUCGGCUAACUCCGUGCCAGCAGCCGCGGUAAUACGGAGGAUCCGAGCGUUAUCCGGAUUUAUUGGGUUUAAAGGGUGCGUAGGCGGGUUGUUAAGUCAGCUGUGAAAGUUUGUGGCUCAACCAUAAAAUUGCAGUUGAUACUGGCAGCCUUGAGUACGGUUGAGGUAGGCGGAAUGCGUGGUGUAGCGGUGAAAUGCUUAGAUAUCACGCAGAACUCCGAUUGCGAAGGCAGCCUGCUAAGCUACGACUGACGUUGAUGCACGAAAGUGUGGGUAUCAAACAGGAUUAGAUACCCUGGUAGUC
rnacentral:rRNA from 1 species